rnacentral:rRNA from 1 species
UGGGGAAUUUUGGACAAUGGGCGAAAGCCUGAUCCAGCAAUGCCGCGUGUGUGAAGAAGGCCUUCGGGUUGUAAAGCACUUUUGUCCGGAAAGAAAUCCUUGGCCCUAAUACAGUCGGGGGAUGACGGUACCGGAAGAAUAAGCACCGGCUAACUACGUGCCAGCAGCCGCGGUAAUACGUAGGGUGCAAGCGUUAAUCGGAAUUACUGGGCGUAAAGCGUGCGCAGGCGGUUUGCUAAGACCGAUGUGAAAUCCCCGGGCUCAACCUGGGAACUGCAUUGGUGACUGGCAGGCUAGAGUAUGGCAGAGGGGGGUAGAAUUCCACGUGUAGCAGUGAAAUGCGUAGAGAUGUGGAGGAAUACCGAUGGCGAAGGCAGCCCCCUGGGCCAAUACUGACGCUCAUGCACGAAAGCGUGGGGAGCAAACAGGAUUAGAUACCCUGGUAGUCCACGCCCUAAAACGAUGUCAACUAGUUGUUGGGGAUUCAUUUCCUUAGUAACGUAGCUAACGCGUGAAGUUGACCGCCUGGGGGAGUACGGUCGCAAGAUUAAAACUCAAAGGAAUUGACGGGGUCAUAGCUGUUUCCU